rnacentral:rRNA from 1 species
AUUGAACGCUGGCGGCAGGCCUAACACAUGCAAGUCGAACGGUAACAGGAAGCAGCUUGCUGCUUUGCUGACGAGUGGCGGACGGGUGAGUAAUGUCUGGGAAACUGCCUGAUGGAGGGGGAUAACUACUGGAAACGGUAGCUAAUACCGCAUAACGUCGCAAGACCAACGAGGGGGACCUUCGGGCCUCUUGCCAUCGGAUGUGCCCAGAUGGGAUUAGCUAGUAGGUGGGGUAACGGCUCACCUAGGCGACGAUCCCUAGCUGGUCUGAGAGGAUGACCAGCCACACGGGAACUGAGACACGGUCCAGACUCCUACGGGAGGCAGCAGUGGGGAAUAUUGCACAAUGGGCGCAAGCCUGAUGCAGCCAUGCCGCGUGUAUGAAGAAGGCCUUCGGGUUGUAAAGUACUUUCAGCGGGGAGGAAGGGAGUAAAGUUAAUACCUUUGCUCAUUGACGUUACCCGCAGAAGAAGCACCGGCUAACUCCGUG